rnacentral:rRNA from 1 species
AACGACUCUCGACAACGGAUAUCUCGGCUCUCGCAUCGAUGAAGAACGUAGCGAAAUGCGAUACUUGGUGUGAAUUGCAGAAUCCCGUGAACCAUCGAGUCUUUGAACGCAAGUUGCGCCCGAAGCCAUUAGGCCAAGGGCACGUCUGCCUGGGCGUCAC